rnacentral:miRNA from 1 species
UAUGUGGGACGGUAAACCACAA